rnacentral:rRNA from 1 species
CCUACGGGAGACUGCAGUCGGGAAUAUUGCUCAAUGGAGGAAACUCUGACGCAGUGACGCCGCGUAUAGGAAGAAGGUUUUCGGAUUUGAAACUAUUGUCUUUAGGGAAGUUAAAAGACUUUACCUUAGGAGUAAGCCCCGGCUAACUAUGUGCCAGCAGCCGCGGUAAUACAUAGGGGGCAAGCGUUAUCCGGAAUUAUUGGGUGUAAAGGGUGCGUAGACGGAAGAACAAGUGGGUUGUGAAAUCCCUCGGCUCAACUGAGGAACUGCAACCAAAACUAUCCUCCUUGAGUGCAGGAGAGGAAAGUGGAAUUCGUAGUGUAGCGGUGAAAUGCGUAGAUAUUAGGAGGAACCCCAGUGGCGAAGGCGACUUGCUGGACGAUAACUGACGUUGAGGCACGAAAGUGCGGGGAGCAAACAGGAUUAGAUACCCGAGUAGUC